UACGUAGGCAGCAAGCGUUGUUCGGAAUUAUUGGGCGUAAAGAGUAUGUAGGUGGUGUCGUAAGUUUGGUGUGAAAUCUCCCGGCUUAACCGGGAGGGUGCGCCGAAGACUGCGAUGCUGGAGUAUGGGAGAGGGAAUCGGAAUUCCUGGUGUAGCGGUGAAAUGCGUAGAUAUCAGGAGGAACACCUGUGGUGUAGACGGGUUCCUGGACCAUUACUGACACUGAGAUACGAAAGCGUGGGUAGCAAACAGG
rnacentral:ncRNA from 3 species